rnacentral:rRNA from 1 species
UACGUAGGGUGCGAGCGUUAAUCGGAAUUACUGGGCGUAAAGCGUGCGCAGGCGGUUUUGUAAGCCAGAUGUGAAAGCCCCGGGCUCAGCCUGGGAAUGGCAUUUGGGACUGCAAGGCUUGAGUGCGGCAGAGGAGACUGGAAUUCCUGGUGUAGCAGUGAAAUGCGUAGAUAUCAGGAGGAAUACCGAUGGCGAAGGCAGGUCUCUGGGCUGACACUGACGCUCAUGCACGAAAGCGUGGGGAGCAAACAGG